AAGUAUUUCUAUUCGAAGGAAAGGUGUUCCAACUCAUGGUUGAAGAUUAUCCUUCUCUAUUAGACGAUAGUUUGCAAAUCAUGGUUGAAGAUUGGAUGAAAAGGUGAUUGUCAUUCUCUAUGCACAGUCAGUUUUAGGACGAAUGGCAUCUGGCGCUACAAUUGCUUAUGCUGGAUUGUGCAUUUGUUGCCUCUACAUCUUUGCACAAAAUUCUCUGAUGGCCAAAUUCACUUGUAAGAUUGGAAGAAGAGGGUCUGGUGGAGGGGCUCAAGAGAGCAUGUAAACAGAAGAAGCUUCCAUCAUAAUAGAGUUUUUUAUGCCUAGCAUUCACCUGUAGAGUCUAUCGCAUUGCAGUGUACAGUGAAGACAAAAUUAUCAUUGUUCAUAAAAUAAUUCUAUUGAAAAUGUGUAAUUAAUAAAUUGAACAAAUUACUAUUUUUGUUUUUGCA